GAAGAGAAUCAACAUGUUAUACAGCAGAGAGCUACAUUUGCUUCAUAGUAUAAAAUGCUUUCGUACCAAAUUCAAUAGAAGAGGUAUUCUUAGUCAUCCUCUGUGCACUGCCUGUAUAAGCCUAGCUUAGACUCAACUUCCAAAAAUUGCCAGGCUUGCAUAAAUUGUUUAUUAAUUAAUUGCCUUCAAGGCUGUGUACAAACUAUAGCACAUUUCUCAUCCAGAUACAUGGUCUCUAUAAAUUACAUUACCUACAAAACUUAUCUUGCUAGAGCAUUACUAGGACCCCACCACAGAGCAAUCUCUUUGCAAAUAUAACGUGUUACUUCACAUUAAGGUCGUUACCCAGAGCUUCAGGAUCUGACAUUAUUGAUGCAGUCCCAAAAUGUAUUGAAUCUCCAUGUAUCCUCUUCUGCAGAUUCUCGAAAGUAGCCACCACACUGGCAUCCAUGUCCCAGCUCACAGGAACUGCUGGCCCGGCUUGAUCUGGUCAUCUUGGAGUGACACCCUGGAGAAAAUGUUGCGUGCUCUCUUCAAUUUGGAGAGCAGCGCUGAUCAAGUCCAUGUAAUCCUGCGCUGUCUUUCUCUUCAAGGUUGCCAUAGUUAAAGAUGGGGGCAUUGUUAGGUUGCAUGCAGGUUCAGUUUAGCAUGCUCUGGACGAGGGGGGUGGCGCAUGUCGCCACGGAGCAUGCCUUUAGAUCCGCCUGGACGCCUAUCUCCCGGCAUGUCAUCCUGGCAUCCUGUCCCCGGCCCGGCGGCUACACGAGGCAGCGAAGGCACACCCACCUUCCAGCGGCAGCUGCUGGUGGGGUCAGAAGAUGAGAGUCUCGCCUGCCUGUCGCGUCCCGUAGCCCUUGCCAUUUGUCGUUAAGUUGUUCUCAACUUGUGCUAUUUUGUACACAGGUACCGAUUAUUGCUUCAGAUUAGAAGCACACUUGCAGAGCGACUCAGAAGCAGAUGUGCAGAGUCAAGCAGAACAAGACCUGAGCGAAUCAGAACGCGACUUGCAGAGAGAACCAGAUUUGUAGAGCAAAUCAGGUUGAUCGAAAGAAACCAUAUAUGAACCAAGUCAGCCCAGUAGGUAAGCAAAAUGUUCCGAUCCCUGGAACUACUAAAGAUUUCAGCCGAGACUAAGGCAACUCGCAAUGCAUACUCUGUUUCCUCAGUCUCUUCUUAUCUCGCUUCAUAAAGGCCAUUCACAGUCCUUUCUGUUUCCUUUGAGGCAUGUUCUGUAUUAUAAAUUUGACUUGACACGCUCUAAAGAGUAAAGAAGGGAACAAGUCAAUAGCUCAGUGAAUGAAAACUCUGGUCAAUUGCCUUCUUAUUUAUUUCGUUCUCUCCAUAAGCAUUCUAGACAGAAUAUGUGACUGUCAAAAUAUGUAUGUUUCAGGCGUGAGGAAUGAGAUGGAUGAUGAUGAACUGGCUUCUCCGUGUGUUGCUUCCAUUUGGACUGACAGUAUUAGUAUUACCAAGUUAGAGUUGUAAUAGGCUGCCUCGCUGAAACAGUUUAUGCCAAUCAUCGACACAGUUAUGUGACGCAUAUGCUUAUCUGCCUGAUGGAUUCUUGAAGACUGGGAAUACUAUACAUGAACCUGUCCGUUCCCAGGACAAGAAGCACAAAUCCAAGAAUUUCAGUGUUGCAUCACUUGAUUCCGGCAGCUGUUAAACACUUCAUCUCAGGGUCCUCCAAGCUAGCAACACGUUGCAGAGAAUCCGGCUUGGUGCCCAUCUCCCGUCUGGUCAGAAGAAUUGCUGCAUUUGGGUGGUCAAGCUUGAUCGGAUCGCUUUGAAGGGGCGCCUGAAGAAAAUGUUCCAUGCUAUCUUCAAUGGCGACAGAAGCAGAACCCGCAUCGGAUGGAUAUGAAGUCAAGCGCAUGCUGCUUGCUGUCUUGUCACAUUUGGUGGAUAACAGAAGGGUUGUUCCCGUUAGUCUCCUGACAGCUUCCUCAGCUAUGUUGUAAGGAUGACCGGGGUGUCCGACCCUAGAGGGAGAGGGAGUGAAUAGGGUCGCUAAUCGCUUUCUAUCCUAGGGCUCAAUCUAUUUGCAUGAGAUAAACCUAA